UUCAGUGGAAUAAGGUUUCGAACCUGUAACCCUCCGGCUCACGAGGCCGACACCUGACCACUAGGUCACCGCCGU